ACAUGCCUACAACAUAGCAUUAAUGCACUAGAUCACAUUAGAACUCCAUAGUUAAUCACGCUCAGGCUAGAGUAGUACUGGGAUGGGUGACCGCCCAAGAAAUCCUAGUGUUUUACAUGCU
rnacentral:rRNA from 1 species